CCUUACCUACCCUUGACAUGGUCGGAACCUUGGAGAGAUCUGAGAGUGCUCGAAAGAGAACCGAUACACAGGUGCUGCAUGGCUGUCGUCAGCUCGUGUCGUGAGAUGUUGGGUUAAGUCCCGCAACGAGCGCAACCCUUGUCCUUAGUUGCUACGCAAGAGCACUCUAGGGAGACUGCCGGUGACAAACCGGAGGAAGGUGGGGAUGACGUCAAGUCCUCAUGGCCCUUAUGGGUAGGGCUUCACACGUCAUACAAUGGUCGGAACAGAGGGUCGCCAACCCGCGAGGGGGAGCUAAUCCCAGAAAACCGAUCGUAGUCCGGAUUGCACUCUGCAACUCGAGUGCAUGAAGCUGGAAUCGCUAGUAAUCGCGGAUCAGCAUGCC
rnacentral:rRNA from 1 species